AGAAGAGAGAGCUGCAGGUUCUCACACCAGUUCUUAGAUGCUCUGCCCAGAAACGCCAUUCAUGACUUUUAUCUGCUGAAAAGUUUUCAUCAAGAUGCACAACCUCAGAGAGACAUAAAGACUCAAAGCAGAUAAGGAAGGAAAUGUGAAAUUUUUAGGCAAUUGGUGGUUUCUUGGCUGCUCCUCCCUUGAUUAACAACUGCUCAAAUCUGACCUUUGGAAUGGAAGGAAGAUCGUGAAGGCUAGAGUCCAUUCCCUACAAACAAGGAAUGCGGGACAGAAAGGCUUUCAUGCCCAGAAGCCCCUCAGAGUCCUGCUUGGUUUCAGUAGCCAGGUAAUUUUAAAAUCCAGACA